UACGUAGGGUGCAAGCGUUGUUCGGAAUUACUGGGCGUAAAUCGCGCGUAGGCGGUGAUCUUUGUCAGAGGUUAAAGCCCGGGGCUCAACUCCGGAAUUGCCUUUGAAACGGGAUUGCUUGAGUCCGAGAGAGGAUGGCGGAAUUCCUAGUGUAGAGGUGAAAUUCGUAGAUAUUAGGAAGAACACCGGUGGCGAAGGCGGCCAUCUGGCUCGGUACUGACGCUCAGGCGCGAAAGCGUGGGGAGCAAACAGG
rnacentral:rRNA from 1 species